GACGAACGCUGGCGGCGUGCUUAACGCAUGCAAGUCGAACGAAAAGAGGGAAAGAGCUUGCUAUUUCCGGAAUUGAGUGGCAAACGGGUGAGUAACACGUAAACAACCUGCCUUCAGGAUGGGGACAACAGACGGAAACGACUGCUAAUACCGAAUAAGUUCCAAGGGCCGCAUGGCCCAUGGAAGAAAAGGUGGCCUCUACCUGUAAGCUAUCGCCUGAAGAGGGGUUUGCGUCUGAUUAGCUGGUUGGAGGGGUAACGGCCCACCAAGGCGACGAUCAGUAGCCGGUCUGAGAGGAUGAACGGCCACACUGGAACUGAGACACGGUCCAGACGCCUACGGGAGGCAGCAGUGGGGAAUCUUCCGCAAUGGGCGAAAGCCUGACGGAGCAACGCCGCGUGAGUGAUGACGGCCUUCGGGUUGUAAAACUCUGUGAUCCGGGACGAAAAGGCAGAGUGCGAAGAACAAACUGCAUUGACGGUACCGGAAAAGCAAGCCACGGCUAACUACGUG
rnacentral:rRNA from 1 species